rnacentral:rRNA from 1 species
GACGAACGCUGGCGGCGUGCCUAACACAUGCAAGUCGAACGGAAAGGCCCCAUUGGGGGUCCUCUAGUGGCGAACGGGUGCGUAACACGGGAGUAACCUUCCCUUUACUCUGUGACAACUUCAGGAAACUGGGGCUAAUACCGGUAAGGCAUCCUUGCUGCUACGUGGGGGUUGGAAAGAUCUUGCGGUGUUGGAUGGACUGGCGGCUCAACAGCUUGUUGGUGGGGUAGUGGCUUACCAGGGCUAUGACGGGUAGCCGGCCUGAGAGUGCGACCGGCUACAUUGGGACUGAGAGGCGGCCCAGACUCCGACGGGAGGCAGCAGUGGGGAAGAUUGCACAAUGGGCGGAGGCCGGAUGCAGCAACGCCACGUGCGGGAUGACGGCCUUCGGGUUGUAGACCGCUUUCAGCAGGGGCGAAGCUUGUGGUGACGGUACCUGCAGAAGAAGCACCGGCUAACUACGUG